GCGAACUUGGCAGAGAUGCCUUGGUGCCUUCGGGAACGCUGAGACAGGUGCUGCAUGGCUGUCGUCAGCUCGUGUUGUGAAAUGUUGGGUUAAGUCCCGCAACGAGCGCAACCCUUAUCCUUUGUUGCCAGCGAUUCGGUCGGGAACUCAAAGGAGACUGCCGGUGAUAAACCGGAGGAAGGUGGGGAUGACGUCAAGUCAUCAUGGCCCUUACGAGUAGGGCUACACACGUGCUACAAUGGCGCAUACAAAGAGAAGCGACCUCGCGAGAGCAAGCGGACCUCAUAAAGUGCGUCGUAGUCCGGAUCGGAGUCUGCAACUCGACUCCGUGAAGUCGGAAUCGCUAGUAAUCGUGGAUCAGAAUGCCACGGUGAAUACGUUCCCGGGCCUUGUACACACCGCCCGUCACACCAUGGGAGUGGGUUGCAAAAGAAGUAGGUAGCUUAACCUUCGGGAGGGCGCUUACUACUUUGUGAUUCAUGACUGGGGUGAAGUCGUAACAAGGUAGGCGUAGCGAG
rnacentral:rRNA from 1 species